rnacentral:rRNA from 1 species
UACGUAGGAUGCAAGCGUUGUCCGGAAUUAUUGGGCGUAAAGAGCGCGCAGGCGGUUUGCCAAGUCAGAUGUGAAAGAGGCCGGCUUAACCGGCAAGGGUCAUUUGAAACUGACAGACUAGAGUGCAGCAGAGGAUAGCGGAAUUCCCGGUGUAGUGGUGAAAUGCGUAGAUAUCGGGAGGAACACCAGUGGCGAAGGCGGGUCUCUGGGCCGAAAUUGACGCUGAGGAGCGAAAGCGUGGGGAGCAAACAGG